rnacentral:rRNA from 1 species
UGGUUUAAUUCGAUGAUACGCGAGGAACCUUACCUGGGCUCGAACGUAAGAUGACUGUAGGUGAAAGCUUACAUCUCUUCGGAGCAUUUUACGAGGUGCUGCAUGGUUGUCGUCAGCUCGUGCCGUGAGGUGUCGGGUUAAGUCCCAUAACGAGCGCAACCCCUACCUUUAGUUGCCAUCAGGUUAAGCUGGGGACUCUAAAGGAACUGCCUACGCAAGUAGUGAGGAAGGCGGGGAUGACGUCAAAUCAGCACGGCCCUUACGUCCAGGGCUACACACGUGCUACAAUGGCCGAUACAGAGGGCAGCUACCUGGUGACAGGAUGCAAAUCUCCAAAGUCGGUCUCAGUUCGGAUCGGAGUCUGCAACCCGACUCCGUGAAGUUGGAUUCGCUAGUAAUCGCGCAUCAGCCAUGGCGCGGUGAAUACGUUCCCGGGCCUU